rnacentral:rRNA from 1 species
AAACAGGUUUCCGUAGGUGACCUGCGGAAGGAUCAUUA